ACCCAGCUGUCUCUCCCAAUGUCUACCCAUUGCUGCCCUGUGAGCAAACGGACAGUGUCUCCAUUGGCUGCUUGGCCAAGGACUUCUUCCCGACCCCCAUCUCCCUCACUUGGAACUCCAACGUGCAUGGAGACAACGAGACCUUCCCUGUCCAGUGGAUCGAGAGCUCCUACAGCGUCAGCUCCCAGUUGACCAUCCCAGCCACCAGUCUCAGUGGGGAGACCUUCCAGUGCAAGGUGGAACAUAGCAGCACCCACAGCACCAAAACGGUGACCAUCAGAGGUGACGACAUCCUCCCUUCGCAGCCCUCGUUGUCCAUCAAGCUCUUGGGCGACCCCAACCAGCAGGACCCGGAGAAGAAGGUCCUUUUGCUGUGCCUGGUGGAGGGCAAAGGGGCUGAAGAGGCCGAGGUGGAGUGGUUGGAGAACCAGGCUCCGCUGGACGCGGAGCAGGAGGACAUCAGGUGCGAGCAGUGCUCUGGGGACGUGGCCACCAGCCUGAGGAGCAAGGUCAACGUGAGCAGGACCAAGUGGGAGCUGGGCACCGAGUUCUCCUGCCGAGUGUCCCACCCCAAGGACACCCCCAAGGUCCUCAACAUCAGCAGCUUCUGCCUGGAUGUGAAGCCCCAGGUGGAAGCCACCAUCGUGCCGCCGUCCCUCGAGGACCUGUACCUGAAGCAGAACGCCAGCAUCUCCUGCGUGGUGUCCAACCUCAAGUCCACCCAGGACGUGAAGUUCUCCUGGAGCAGGGACAAAGGGAGCGCCUUGGAUGCCACCACGGGGCCGGCGGAGAAGUUGGCCAACGGGUUCUACAGGCUCAGCAGCUCCUUGAAGAUCUGCGCCGAGGAAUGGAACUCUGGGGAGAGGUUCUCCUGCAGCGUCAGCAUCCCCGAGCUCCAGGAGUCCAUCACCAGGUCCAUCAGGAAGGUCACAGACACCGCUGUGAAGCCACCAACGGUCUACGUCUUCCCACCACCCUCCGAUGAGCUGGUCCUCCAAGAGACGGCCACCCUGACCUGCUUGGCCACAGGCUUCAGCCCCAAGGACAUCUUGGUCACUUGGACCCAACAAGACCACCCCGUGUCCUCCGAGAGCUUCUCCACCUUUGGUCCCAAAGCUGAAGGAGAUACCUUCACCCUCUAUAGCAUGUUGAAGGUCCCAGUGGUUGAAUGGCAACGGGGGGACACCUUCUCCUGCAUCGUUGGCCACGAUGGGAUCCCCUUGACCUUCAUCCAGAAGAACCUGGACAAGAGCCUUGGUAAACCCACCAUGGUCAACGUCUCCGUGGUCCUCAGCGACUCCGAUGUCACCUGCUACUAA